rnacentral:rRNA from 1 species
GAUGAACGCUGGCGGCGUGCCUAAUACAUGCAAGUCGAGCGGACGGACCAGAAGCUUGCUGCUCUGACGUUAGCGGCGGACGGGUGAAUAACACGUGGAUCACCUACCUAUAAGACUGGUAUAACUUCGGGACACCGGCGCUAACCCCGGAUAAUAUUUUGCACCGCAUGGUUCAAAGGUGAAAGACGGUCUUGCUGUCACUUCUCGCUGGUUCCGCGCUGCAUUGGCUAGUUGGUAAGGUCACGGCCUACCAAGGCAACUAUGCAUAGCCGACCUGAUAGGGUGGUAGACCACACUGGAGGUGGGCCACGGUCCAGACGCCUACGGUAGGGAGCAGUAGCGAAUCUUCCGCAAUGGUCGAAAACAUUGCGGAGCAGGGCCGCGUGAGUUAUGACGGUCUUCGGAUCGUAAAACUCUGUUAUUAGGUAAGAACAGAUGUGUAAUUAACUGUGCAGAGCUUGACGGUACCUAGUCAAAAAGCCCCGGCUAACUACGUG